rnacentral:lncRNA from 1 species
AAAUGCUUCUAUUUAUCCACACAGGAAAAUACAAGCUUCUCCUUAGUUAUUAAAAAUAUAUUUUCAACGUGUAAUGGUCUUUUUUAUUUCUGCAAGGCCACCGAGAUCACCAUCAGCUGUAAAGCACUGCUCAAUCCAAGCUUCUACCGAAGGCAAGAGCUCUGACUUGGGAUCCCUGCAUGACACUGCCUUCCCUGUCACACGGUGCCUUGGAAGCAACGCAGAGCAGCAGGAUCCAUAACGUCUGAAUUGCCUUUUGUAGCAAUUUCCACUCCUCUGGCUGCAGCUUUAAAGGAUUCACCAACUCAGUGCUGGCAUUUGUCUUGCUUAGCUGCUGAGAAGCCUGACCCUGUUGUCCUGGAUAAUACCCCUACACCUCACCUUGCUGUAACCUUGUGCCACCCCACCAGGUUGAGGAGAUGGAGCUUCAGGCCUUCAGCAGCUCAGACUGAACCCUCACCAGGCUUAUUCAUGGAGUAAAUAAGAAAAGGAGUUUUUUUCUUCAGACAAAGUCUGCGUGGAGGGCAUAGACACUGAAAGCAUUUAAGAGCAACAAAAGAAGGCCAGGUCAUGUGGUGACCGAAUGCAGGUUGCUGUUGCAAGAGCCAGGAGCAACAAACCACAUUUGAAACAGAAUCACUGUUGGAGAAACUACCAUGAUGGCCUCACUUUGGGCAAGGAAGCCACAUCAUGCUUCGUUACUGUCAUGCUGCAAGCCUGGAGCUGCUGCACACACCAUAACCCUGAGGAGGAGCUCUGUACCUUGUCUUGAUGGCAUUGACUCCAAAGCCAAAAACUGUAUGUGGCCAUGAAAUGAGCUAAGUGAAGGAUUUAUGUCAUUUUUUCUUUCUUGGAACAGGGAGGGA